rnacentral:lncRNA from 1 species
AUGGCCUUUUUCAAUGGGAAAAAUUAUUAGCACAAACAUAGUUUAGAUGUUACAUGUUACAUAAGACUUGAGCUUGAGCAACUAUCCUGCUAUAGGUAUAUAAAUUUCCUAAUUUUAAUCACAACAGCAGACAAGAACCUUCCUAAAGGGCAAACUCCCUUAUGCUGUGUUGUCCUUUCAUCUAUUUCAAAAUUUAACUUGUGCACAUGGGCACUGAAACAUUUUAUCAAUGCACAAUAAAAUAUUAAACACACACAAUAGUCUAGUUGGGAAUCCAAAUGCUUGACUUUCACACAUCAACAUACACCCAAAUCAUAGAACGGUUGUUCUGUCCGGAAAUGGAAAGAACAUCAACAAGUGACAUGCUCCAUCCACCCUUUGGACUGCUCUUCUCCUCAUGCCUCCCCUUCAAUCACUCACCAUAUUAAUAACACCUAAAUACGAAAACCACUUAUGAAUUAUACUGGCAUGCAAAACAUUGUAUACCGUGAAGCAUAGCAAUGCCACUAAGUAAGAUGGGAAUAGUGAUAUAAUUAGUUCAGGUUGCAGCCAUCGAAAGCAUACCGAUAACACGAAGAUAAACUAACAAUAAAUAUAUCAAUGCAUGUUCAUGACUGAAUUCACUCUAUUUCAGCAAGAAGUAAGAAAAUGUAACCACCUUAAGUAAAAAAUUAGAAUGAGCAAAAGCAUUAAUAUCCAUAAUACACACAUGUACUUUGAAGGUGAUUGUGUCUCAUGUAGCACCAAGGCCCGAACCACUAUGAUACUUACCAAAUUUCUUGAGCAUCUAAAUUUAAAGUAGCAAAGAAGAAAAUAAAAAAUUCUAAGUGAGAACAAUAGUAAUGCUUGACAAACAGUACCGUAUAUGGAAGUUGAUACACAAGAAAAGCUAGAAAACAAUAGAUCAAAUUGAAAAAUAAUGAUGCUAAUAAAAAAUUCAUGGACUUUUAUCAGCACAACCUGUUCCCCUAGCAACCACACGGAGUCAUCAAGCUGCAUUGGUUAAGGUGGGCCACAUGGUCCAAGCUUAGAAUUAUGAACCUGAGGGCAGCCUAUGGCUAGCAGAACAACAACAGUUGAUGCAAGGCCAUCAAUUUUGAUUGUUAAACUGGUUAGUUCAACACAAAAAAUUAGUAAUAUGAUGUUAAUCCAUGACAAAGUGAGGAGAAUAAAAUAGGCAAGGUGAUAACACGAUGCAAGGAUCGGACGACCGAACUGGCACAAUUGACCGAAAUGAGCAAGAUCGAACGGCCAACAAAGAUCCAAAUCAGGGGAGAGCUGUUAGGUAUAAAAUUGCUUUCCCUGGCUCAUAUAAAAUUAGAUACCCAGGUUGUUCACCAGCUCGUCGAAACAAUGGCCUAAAAUUAAAAGCUCUUUCUUAUGAGCCUGGACAAUUGUUUCUUCUCUCAGCCACUAAAAAUGGUUUAGAACAUGAUGUUGACAUGCUGCAACAUUACAUUGUUUUCCCAGUGUGCCAAGAUUGUCUAGCCCAUGCAUGCUAGUUAGCCCGACAAAGUAAAUUUUUGUUUCGGUACCAAACACCUAUCCUUACCCAGCGAAGACCAGUAGUUUGUUUGCUUUGGAAAUAAAUACGCCCUAAAUCAUCAUGCAUAAACUGGUUGAGUUAUGGAUGUGCCGAAUGAAAGGUUUAGCUAAAUACAUUACUAUAACACAGUAGUUCUGAAAUUAUUACAUGGAGUAAGCAUGCUAACCUCUCCAUCCUACAUUCCAGUAUUUCUUCGACAUUCAGACUAAGCUCCUGUCAAUUUCAGGCAGGCAAGAUAGUACUUCUUCUCGUGUUUCAACCUACAAAAAUGAUUGGAUGCACCCUAAGUGCAUACAACAUGAUGUCUGAACACAGUUUUAUUCAAAGCAUAUGAACAAAAUAUUAAUUGGACUAAUUGCUGCAAUCAUCUUCUGAACCUAAUCAAGGGAAACAACAUAGAGCAAAAAUCUUCAAAUAAUCACAUGGCCAAAGAGAAGCUAUCUAUGAAUCAAGCUUUCGGUCAAGAUGCACACCAAUAAAAAGCAUUAGUUUUAUAAGGUACAAACAACUGUACCUUGAAGCACAAUCAACAUGCUGGACCUAGCUCCUAAUUCCAUUUAGGAAUCAUCAUCUUCAUAAAGUAAUAAGUAAACUUGGUCAUCCAUGCACCGACUAUAGCCUGCUUGCUAAUUUCCACCUAUGUCACAAAUAAGACAAUGUCAUGUUCAAACUGAAGGUGAAAGCAGUAUACAUUCAGUUUCUAAUUUAUAUUAGUAAUAAAAAUCUCUAUAAAGAGGCAGACCAACCGCUGGAAAUAAACUGGCAUGGAACUAAAUCAGUGUCCACAAAACCAUAGAUAUGCAUGCUCAUCAAGAAUGUCAUACAUUUUACCAGAAUGGAAGCUUAGUUGGUGCUGGUGCUCUACCUCAAGAACCUCUAGCCCACACAACAGAAAUCCGUCCAUCUUGGCCAUGAAUUCAC